rnacentral:rRNA from 1 species
UACGUAGGGAGCGAGCGUUGUCCGGAUACAUUGGGCGUAAAGAGCUCGUAGGCGGCUUGGUAAGUCGGAUGUGAAACCUCCAGGCUCAACCUGGAGUCGCCAUCCGAUACUGCCAUGGCUAGAGUCCGGUAGGGGCCCACGGAAUUCCUGGUGUAGCGGUGAAAUGCGCAGAUAUCAGGAGGAACACCGAUGGCGAAGGCAGUGGGCUGGGCCGGCACUGACGCUGAGGAGCGAAAGCGUGGGGAGCGAACAGG